GCACUUCUUACCAAGUUCGCUUGGUCAGAGGCCACUACACCGGCGAAUGUUCGGUGCUGGUUGCUCAUGGGUGGAACGUUGACUAUUCGGCACGGCAGGUUGAUUACGGCUAGUACUGCUCUUCGGGGCGUGAAACGUGGUGAUGGAUCGUUUGGGGCGGGCGCGUUGGUGGGUAUCUGAGGGAACGGGCUCGUUUGAGUCUUUCCUUCGGCUGCCGCCCCCAGGAAACCCCCCUGAAAGGGGGGGGGGAGGGGGGGUUGGUCUUUUUUUAAAAACUCACCGGGGACCCCAACCUUUGGGGGCCAAUUUUUUAAGGCCCCCCGGGGAAUCCCUUGCCCCCAGAAACCAAUAAAGGAGUGGGGCCCACAAUAAGGUACCUGGGUCCCCCGGGACGAAGCUCUUCAUUCCUUUAGGUAACCCUCCCUCGAGC
rnacentral:misc_RNA from 1 species